GACAGAGGGUGCAAACGUUGUUCGGGAUUACUGGGCGUAAAGCGUGUGUAGGCGGCCACGUAAGUCGGAUGUGAAAGCCCCAGGCUCAACCUGGGAAGUGCACUCGAUACUGCGUGGCUUGAGUAUCGGAGAGGUUGGUGGAAUUCUCGGUGUAGAGGUGAAAUUCGUAGAUAUCGAGAGGAACACCGGUGGCGAAGGCGGCCAACUGGACGAAUACUGACGCUGAGACACGAAAGCGUGGGGAGCAAACAGG
rnacentral:rRNA from 1 species